GACGAACGCUGGCGGCGUGCCUAAUACAUGCAAGUCGAGCGAAGUUUUUCUGGUGCUUGCACUAGAAAAACUUAGCGGCGAACGGGUGAGUAACACGUAAAGAACUUGCCUCAUAGACUGGGACAACUAUUGGAAACGAUAGCUAAUACCGGAUAACAGUAUUUCUCGCAUAAGAGAUAUUUAAAAGUUGGUUAUGCAAACACUAUGAGAUGGCUUUGCGGUGCAUUAGCUAGUUGGUGGGGUAAAGGCCCACCAAGGCGACGAUGCAUAGCCGACCUGAGAGGGUGAUCGGCCACACUGGGACUGAGACACGGCCCAGACUCCUACGGGAGGCAGCAGUAGGGAAUCUUCCGCAAUGGGCGAAAGCCUGAUGGAGCCACACCGCGUGCGUGAAGAAGGAUUUCGGUUCGUAAAGCUCUGUUGUUAGGAAAGAAUGGCUGUGUAGUAACUCUACAUGUUAGAGACGGUACCUAACCAGAAAGCCACGGCUAACUACGUG
rnacentral:rRNA from 1 species